AUGUAAACGUCAAAUCACUGUCUCUAUUUUAUUAUUCUACAAUUCGUUCCACAUAGUCUGCAGAGCCCCAUUCAUACUGGAUAAAUUUUAGUCGCAUCCGGUCCGUCAAAUGUCUUAUGAUCUAUAGAGCCCUUUUGAUUUUUCUAUGGCAACAUUUGCUAUGCUGACGUCAUUGCCACGUCAUUACUGUCAGUCAGACAGAAAUAAAAGAAAAAUGGAUGCCGUUCAGACGUACACGCAUUAUUUGGAACUGAAAAUUACGUAAUUUAUCGACCUGCUGGCUUGUAUUUGUUAUAAAUCAUAAAAAAAAUUAUGGAAAACAUCAUGAACAAUAAUGAAACAAACCGAACCUUUAGCUACAAUAAUAAAAUGACCCCAUGACGCCAGUGGAACUACGUGGUUUUCUUUCAUGAUGAUUUGAUGAUACCUCAAUGGAAUUGAGCCAAGUUUUCGCCCAACCCUCGUGACCUCACUCCAGCAGCUCAAACCUGGGAACUCGCAGCUCAUUUUCGACGGACCGCUUCCAUGAGUAGACAAGGCACCGACGAUCACGGCUUGCAUCACCUGUACUGCUAUGUAAUAUAGCAUGCUGAACAAUGCUGCCAUUAUACUAGGAUCAACGUCCUGCCCCUUCCCCGGCUGUGUACAAAUUGGAACUCCAUUGGCAUGCCCCUUUGACUGAGCAACUUGUGUAUGUGUGUGUGCUCGAAACACAUUCACUUGCAACAGAAUGACUCCCAGGCUGACCUGGCUCAGUUCCUGUAUGUCUGAUCUACAUCCACAAUGGUUUCAAUGAAAGAGUGAAAAUUCUUCUCCCUGUACAAUCACUUCUAACACCUAUACUGACUACACCAAAUAUGAUCAUCACUCAACAUGUCUCACAUCAAGAUACUUUUCAAAAGUCAUCGAGAAGAGGAACAUAAUAUCUUUUUUCCCAUUGUUGCCUGAAUAAUCCUAACUAAAAGUUACUUCUCUAUUCUAUUUUUCCUGCAUGGAGUGGCGCUUUUCCGUCUAAUGGAAACGAAAUGAACAAAUAUGCUCUGGGUUUUUUUUUGUUUUUGUGCACCUUUUCAAUAUUACUAAUAAAGCAUUUUGUGGGUGUUUCAUUUACCACCUUCCUUCAUAAUUUUGCUAGUGUGUGAUUCACCAUAUUCCUAAUUAUUAAAUGCAAUAGCUACUGCAAUCUGUUCACUGAUGGGAAUCAUUUCAUGUUAACACAGCUUUGAAUACUAUCUUAAAUAAUGACUCAGACUGACUGUCAAUAAAAAUAUUCCUAGCUAUAAGCUUGCCUGAGGUUAAUGAAUGGUGUGCCUAACUCCUUACUUGAGUACUUAAGAACUAUGCUUAAAUUCUAGAUUGUAUGUUCUUGACAUUUUUGUCAAUAAGCUACUUGAAUGUUUGUCUCUUUCAAGUAAUUAUAAUUUGUUCACACUUCAGUGGAAGACAACUAAUCCUUAGUUGUUAGUAAGUAUGAAACGUGCUAAUUGCUACUCGUUUCCCUAUGAUUAUGAAUACCAUUAC